rnacentral:lncRNA from 1 species
AGUGUCAGCAGAGAGGACCAGCACAGAGGGUGAUGCGGGCGGGCGGUCCUGAGGUCCUGCUUGUUGUCAGGUGAAGGUUUCUGAGUAAACUGACAGAGCCAGACUAAAGUGAGAUUGGUAGAUGGACUUGGGAUGAAGAAGAACACCACCAGCAGCAGUUAUCCUAAUGGGAAACUGGAGGCUCCUCAGCCCUGGGCUGUCCCUCAUGUGCUGGCAUGUGUGCCUUUCCCCUCACGGUCCGCCUUGCUGACACCACUUUGGCACCUUGAGUUAUCUAGCUCUGCCAGUCAGACUCAGCCCUAAGGAAACUGAUUUGGAACAUCAAUUCUGUGAGGAAAGAGCCAGGACACUCCACUGUCCCCUUGGCAUCCCCGCAGGACUGUGGAGCAUGGUGUGAGCGAGCCACGCUGCAAGCUCCCUUAGCUAUGGAUCAAGCCAUUCCAACUGCCAUGACCUCACUGUACAGUUGCGUCCUGGGCACUUUGGCUAUGUACGUGGUUAUCACUUGGUUAUACUGCCUUGUGAUAGAGGCAUCAUUCAUCAUUUAAAAGCCCACAUCAGAAGAAGGUACUAAUAAAAUAAGAAAUUCUCUCUGCAGUUACAUGCAGCUGAAAGGUGGAGAAUGAACUAAAUAAGUAUGGCAGUGUGUUAAAAAAUCCAUAAAAAUCACAUAUAGGUAAUGGUUACCAGUGGCCGAAAUUGCACAAGAGAAAGAUUUCACUUUUAAGUGCCUUCUGAUGGAGCUACACAAUAUCAUGGGUAAAAAUGUAAAUUUCUUCUGCUAAUAAUAUUGCUAAGCAGAGAGAGAUACUCCAUGACAUCAUCGAAAAGCAAAAAUCAAGACACCAAAUGAGAGAAAUUCACGAGAUGUAUGCUGAUGUUCCAAUUGACAGCAAGUAAUAACUGGGCAUUUUAUAAGGUAAAUUGAUUAUUAGUCUCUGGGUAUGGUGGUCAUGUUACACUUCUAUAUCCAGUAAGGCUACUUCCCUUUCGGAGAUAUGCAUUAAGGUACUUACAGUUA